rnacentral:rRNA from 1 species
UGAGGAAUUUUGCGCAAUGGGGGCAACCCUGACGCAGCAACGCCGCGUGAGUGAAGAAGGCCUUUGGGUCGUAAAGCUCUGUCGACAGGGAAGAAGUUACUUCAUAUUAAUAGUAUGUUGUAUUGACGGUACCUGUAGAGGAAGCACCGGCUAACUCCGUGCCAGCAGCCGCGGUAAUACGGGGGGUGCAAGCGUUAUUCGGAAUUAUUGGGCGUAAAGGGCGCGUAGGCGGUCUUGUCGGUCAGAUGUGAAAGCCCGGGGCUCAACCCUGGAAGUGCAUUUGAAACAGCAAGACUUGAGUACGGGAGAGGAAAGCGGAAUUCCUGGUGUAGAGGUGAAAUUCGUAGAUAUCAGGAGGAACACCGAUGGCGAAGGCAGCUUUCUGGACCGAUACUGACGCUGAGGCGCGAAGGUGUGGGUAGCGAACAGGAUUAGAUACCCUGGUAGUCCACACAGUAAACGAUGUACACUAGGUGUAGCGGGUAUUAAAAUCUGCUGUGCCCAAGCUAACGCAUUAA